rnacentral:lncRNA from 1 species
AGACAGUCGAGGCAAGAAAAUCCUGUGAAUCACACCCCCGUGAUGUAAGAAGUAAACGUGUCUCUGUCAUAGAGGUGGUACGUCGUCUGGCCCAGGGGUAAUAGAGGUGGUUAGUGUGUCUGGGCCCAGGGGUAAUAGAGGUGGUUAGUGUGUCUGGGCCCAGGGGUAAUAGAGGUGGUUCGGUGUCUGGCCCAGGGGUAAUAGAGGUGGUUACUCUGUCUGGGCCCAGGGGUAAUAGAUGUGGUUAGUGUGUCUGGGGCCCAGGGGUAUAGAGGUGGUUAGUGUGUCUGGGCCCAGGGGUGAUAGAGGUGGUAAGUCUGUCUGGGCCCAGGGGUAA